UCGGCGCGGCCCCGCGGCGCCCACCCUUGCGGAGGGGAGGAGAGGGGACGGGCGUACCGACCCGGGCGGCCCUCGCCGCGGGGCUGCCGGCCUCGGGGCAGGCUGAAGUAUUAAGUUAACCUAAGCGAAUAAGCCCUAAUAAGGCCUGCUGGGAUCCAGCUGACUCCUCACAGGCUCUUUAAUCUGAACUCCACAAAAUGCCUCUGUUCGUUCUUCAUCCACAGAUUACCUCCCAAACCAUUAUUUGCUGAAGAUGGAUGUCACACCCAGCACAUGGAUGGUGUAUCCAGCCAUUCAGAAAGGUUGUUUAUCUUUAACUUUUCAUUUAACCAUAAAACCAUUUGACAAAUACAAACUCAUUAUAGCUAGCAGAGCUGAAUGGAGGUUUUUUUGCUUCAUUUUUCCUGAGUAACAUAUCUGAGCUCAUGCUGAUACAUGUCAGGAAUAAAACCAUUAUUACAGCAACGAAGCAGGGAGCAGCUAUGUUUUCAUGGAUAGGAUACUCUUCUAACUUAGGCUGAAAUAGAAUUGGGCCAAAUACAUCUUUUCUUAUUCACAGGAUUAGUCUUACAACUUCAAUAGAGUACCUGCAAGUCAGGUGAGCCCUCACACUUUCACUUUUGCUCACUGAUAAUAUGGUUGCUCUAGUCUGUUUUUGAUGGGUUGUAGCAUCGUUUUUCAGAAAACUGUAAACAGUGGACUGAAAGACAUUUCAUCAUGUGCAUAUUACUUUGUAAUUAUUAUUGUGUCAGCUAUAGAACUUGAGCUUCAUAUCCACAUACAUUUCCUAGAAACAACUUCAUCCGUAUGUGAAAGAUACACUACACACAGCAUCCCCAACAAUAAUGCAAGAGGGUAGUAAAACUGCAACAAACUCACUAAAAUAGUCCCACCAGUAGGUGACUGAAGAAUGGGAAACAAGAUCAUAGAUUGAGUCUUACAGUGUCACUACAGAGUAUGAGUCCUGAUGCGCAAGUCCCUCUCAGUCUAUGAUACUGUCCCUGUCCUUUGCUGUUCCUCAUUCCUUUUCUCCAGUCACGUUUGAUUGUCUCCAAACAUAAAACCAAAAAGAAAAAUUUAUGGUAAGUGAUAAAUAUAGCAAUGAGUGGAGGAAGGGUAAUGAAAGAUCAAAAUUGAAUUAACAAUGUUCAAGUCUAGAAAACAAAAGAAGGAUGAAAAUAAAGAAUGAAAAAUAGCAUAUUAGAAUUGUAAAUAACCUCCUAGGUCACUGAGUUCAGUCAUUGUAUACAGCCACAAAAUUUCCAUUCAUUAAAAAAUUACUUUAAUAUAAUGGGAGGGAUCCUGGAAACAAGCAAGAUAGGGUGUUUUUUGGCUAGGUAGGAUUGAAUUUUCGGUUGCACUGUCUUCAGUAACUAUAUGAGCUCUGUCUAUUGCUGCAUCAUCGAUCUAUGUAAAUAUCAGUUUGCCUUUUUCAUUUUCAAAUUGUAUGCACCUCUGCUGUACGUAGUGGAACUUAUAGGUGGCUAGGAGCAAAAGAAUAAAGUGAAGCCUUAAAAUGGUCUUUGCAUCUUCUGUUUGAUACUGUGGGAAGCCAGGGUGCCGCAUUUUAACAGUGUGUGAUAACUUUGACAUGUAGUUAAAGCUAGAAACAGAAAAGAAGUGCCUAAAACAGGGAAGACUUUAAAUAAUAACAUGUAAGAAUAAAGAGAAAAAGUAGUGAAGCAACUGACUUCAAAAAGAUUUAUAGCAAGAGAGGCAAUAC